rnacentral:rRNA from 1 species
GAUGAACGCUGGCGGCGUGCCUAAUACAUGCAAGUCGAGCGAACGGACGAGAAGCUUGCUUCUCUGAUGUUAGCGGCGGACGGGUGAGUAACACGUGGAUAACCUACCUAUAAGACUGGGAUAACUUCGGGAAACCGGAGCUAAUACCGUAUAAUCUUUUGAACCGCAUGGUUCAAAAGUGAAAGACGGUCUUGCUGUCACUUCUAGAUGGAUCCGCGCUGCUUGAGCUAGUUGGUAAGGUAACGGCUUACCAAGGCAACGAUGCAUAGCCGACCUGCGAGGGUGGUCGGCGACCCUGGAGCUGAGCCACGGACCAUACGCCUACGGGAGGCAGCAGUAGGCAAUCUGCCGCAGUGGGCGAGAGCCUGACGGAGCAGCGCCGCGUGAGUGAUGGAGGUCUUGGGAGCGUAAUACUGUGUUAUUAGGGGAGAACAUAUGUGUAAGUAACUGUGCACAGCUUGACGGUACCUAAUAAGGAAGCCACGGCUAACUACGUG